rnacentral:rRNA from 1 species
UAGGGAAUUUUCGGCAAUGGGCGCAAGCCUGACCGAGCAACGCCGCGUGAGUGAAGAAGGCCUUCGGGUUGUAAAGCUCUGUUGUAAGGGAAGAACACUUUUUAGAGGAAAUGCUAGAGAGCUGACGGUACCUUACCAGAAAGCCACGGCUAACUACGUGCCAGCAGCCGCGGUAAUACGUAGGUGGCGAGCGUUAUCCGGAAUUAUUGGGCGUAAAGGGUGCGUAGGCGGUUUAUUAAGUCUGUGGUGAAAGUGCGGGGCUCAACCCCGUAUGGCCACAGAAACUGAUAGACUAGAGUACAGGAGAGGGCAGUGGAAUUCCAUGUGUAGCGGUAAAAUGCGUAGAUAUAUGGAGGAACACCGGUGGCGAAGGCGGCUGCCUGGCCUGUAACUGACGCUG